rnacentral:rRNA from 1 species
UACAGAGGCCACAAGCGUUAGUCGGAAUCACUGGGCUUAAAGGGUGCGUAGGCGGGUCUGCAAGCGUCCUGUGAAAUACCUCGGCUCAACCGAGGAACUGCAGGGCGAACUGCGGAUCUUGAGGCAUGUAGGGGCUGCGAGAACAGUAGGUGGAGCGGUGAAAUGCGUAGAUAUCUACUGGAAUGCCGAUGGUGAAGACGCGCAGCUGGGCAUGUCCUGACGCUGAGGCACGAAAGCGUGGGGAGCAAACAGG